AUGAACGCAUCAACUCUAGGGCAGAGGCAGAAGUGGUGUCUCGUCUCCACUCAGGAGCUUUCCUCAUGGCGAUGUCCCAAAACACAACCUGUCUCGGAAGGAGGCACUGGCUUGAGAGGAGGAGAAAGCAAAACCACCCUUCCCAGAUGGAUGUCACAGAGUCGCCAACUCACCACCUUCUGUGAAGGACUCACAGGGAGGAUGUCACAUCUGGACUCUUACCAAAGUGCCACAAAGGAACACACUUGGCUGUUUUUACUCGGAAACAUGGCUGCAGCCCUCAGCCGACACCCCCAGGGACGCUGGCUCUGCCCUUGGCACCUGGCACCUUGCCUUGGAUGCAGUGGACUACACAGCCCCCGUGCUCCAAGGGUUCAGAUGCUCCCAAGAGGACCACGCCUGGGUCCUGGACGUCACCGCCAGGGCAAAAUCCUCAGGAGGUUUGGGCUUUUGUUGACCGUGAAGCCGCAGGAGGCUGGGGCUUUUCACUGAUGGCGAUUGUGGCACCGCAAUGGUCAGCAGUAGCUCCGUUGACCCACAUCUUCCAACGGUGGCUUCUGUCUGGGGGACCUACUCCAGUCCUCUCCCCAUCAACUCGAACUGAAAGGAUGUAUGAAGAGCUCUGAAUUUGCAGCCCACAAAACCUAGACAGACAGACACACAUAUACACACACACACGCACACAAACUUUCAACGAGACGUGUGUGUGUGUGUGUGUGUGUGCCCACAAAUUCAGUCCCAAGACCUUGCUCCAAGCCCCACCCAGUUCACGGGG
rnacentral:lncRNA from 1 species